UACAGAGGUCUCAAGCGUUGUUCGGAUUCAUUGGGCGUAAAGGGUGCGUAGGUGGCGCGGUAAGUCGGGUGUGAAAUUUCGGGAGCUUAACUCCGAAACUGCAUUCGAUACUGCCGUGCUUGAGGACUGGGAGAGGAGACUGGAAUUUACGGUGUAGCAGUGAAAUGCGUAGAGAUCGUAAGGAAGACCAGUGGCGAAGGCGGGUCUCUGGACAGUUCCUGACACUGGAGG
rnacentral:rRNA from 1 species